UGCAGAUAUUCUCUAAGCCGCUUUCAUCAUGGGAGAAAUAGAGCAGAGGCCAACCCCAGGAUCACGACUGGGGGCCCCAGAAAAUUCGGGGAUCAGUACCUUAGAACGUGGACAGAAGCCGCCCCCAACGCCUUCAGGAAAACUCGUGUCCAUCAAAAUCCAGAUGCUGGAUGACACCCAGGAGGCAUUUGAAGUUCCAACACUGUCCUCAUCCUCCUUCCUCAAAGCUACCGGCUCCUCCUGGACGAGUUGUGGGCACUGAGAUGCCCCGUGAAGCCCAAGCACCAUUCGUGUAUCAUUGAGAAGUUUGGAGAGGACAGAAUUUUCACUCGUCUUACAGGCUCUAUUUCUUCCACAAACUGGGCUGGAAGUAGAAGCUUAGCGGUCACAGUCACUGAAGAGCUUCUUCAUCUUUUUUGAGUCAGGACUUAAAGUCCUGUUUCACUGUUUCAUUCAAAGAAAAUGAUUUGCAAUGGCCAGAGUUAAAUUAAAAGGUGACAUUAACACAUUUCAGUGCCCAGUAAGUGAUUUUUCUGCUGAGAAGUAGAUAGAGAUGUGCUCUCAGAUACGUGAAGCCGCAUACAGAGGGGCCCACCCCCUAAAUAGGUCUCCAGGAGGCUUGGUUUGAUCUACUAAAUUUGGUGCCUCUUAAAGGGAAGCAAUACAGCUUUUCCGCUGUGGGUUAUUUGCCACUAGGGGAAGAUUCAUUUCUAUUCCAGCCAUAAAUUAGACCAAAGAGAGGGAUUUGGUUUAUUGCUAGUACAGAAGUUAAAAACCGUCUCCCUUUCCCAAGUGGUCUCUUAAUUAGAUUCAUUAGUUUUUAAAUGUUAAUUGGAAUUGCUGAAGUUUAAUUCCUGAAAGGGUUUAGAUUUGAAAAGGAAUACCUCCUUUACCAUAUUACUGUGUUCUGAGAAAUCUACAGUAAUUUUUGUGUAACUUUUUUAUUCAAAGAAUGGAUCGUUAAUUGUAAAGCCAUUUAGAAAGGCAAGUAAAGUCAGAGAUCUACUU